UGGGGAAUUGUUCGCAAUGGGCGCAAGCCUGACGACGCAACGCCGCGUGGAGGAUGAAGAUCUUCGGGUCGUAAACUCCUGUCGAGUGGGAAGAAUAGUUUCCGGGCGAAUAUCCCGGGAGCCUGACGGUACCACUAAAGGAAGCCCCGGCCAACUACGUGCCAGCAGCCGCGGUAACACGUAGGGGGCGAGCGUUGUCCGGAUUUAUUGGGCGUAAAGAGCUCGUAGGCGGUUUCGUUAGUCGGGUGUGAAAACUUCAGGCUCAACCUGGAGACGCCACCCGAUACUGCGAUGACUAGAGUCCGGUAGGGGAGUGUGGAAUUCCUGGUGUAGCGGUGAAAUGCGCAGAUAUCAGGAGGAACACCAACGGCGAAGGCAGCACUCUGGGCCGGAACUGACGCUGAGGAGCGAAAGCGUGGGUAGCGAA
rnacentral:rRNA from 1 species